rnacentral:rRNA from 1 species
GACGAACGCUGGCGGCGUGCUUAACACAUGCAAGUCGAACGGAAAGGCCUGCUUUCCCUUGUGGAUUGCGGGUACUCGAGUGGCGAACGGGUGAGUAACACGUGAGUGAUCUGCCCCCAACUUGGGUAUAAGCCUGGGAAACUGGGUCUAAUUCCCGAUAGGACUGCAGGGUGGUGCCUGUGGUGGAAAACGAUUUUCUAGUGGUUGGGGAUGAGCUCGCGGCCUAUCAGCUUGUUGGUGGGGUAAUGGCCUACCAAGGCGGCGACGGGUAGCCGGCCUGAGAGGGUGGACGGCCACAUUGGGACUGAGAUACGGCCCAGACUCCUACGGGAGGCAGCAGUGGGGAAUAUUGCACAAUGGGCGGAAGCCUGAUGCAGCGACGCCGCGGGGGGGAUGACGGCCUUCGGGUUGUAAACUCCUUUCGACCGCGAGGAAGCCACCUGGUUGGAAGGGUGGUGACGGUAGUGGUAGAAGAAGCACCGGCUAACUACGUG